rnacentral:rRNA from 1 species
GACGAACGCUGGCGGCGUGCUUAACACAUGCAAGUCGAACGAAGUGGCGCACGGGUGAGUAAUACGUGGGUAACCUGCCCUCCUUUUUGGGAUAAGCCUUGGAAACGGGGUCUAAUACCGACUAAAGGGGGAUGGGCUCGGGGCCUAUCAGCUUGUUGGUGGGGUGAUGGCCUGACAAGCCGGUGACGGGUUGCGGGGCUGAGAGGGUGACCGGCGACUGUGAGACGGAGAUACGGCCUAGACUCGUACGGGGGGGGGAAGUUUGGAAGAUUGCAGCAUGGUCGAAAGCCUGAUGCAGCGACGCCGCAUGGGGGAUGAAGGCUUUCAGGUUGUAAACCUCUUUCGCAAUCGAACGGGUAGGUGGAGAAGAAGCGCCGGCUAACUACGUGCCAGCAGCCGCGGUAAUAC